GGAGAACGAGACGAGAGAAACUUUCAAAGGGAGACACUGCCGAGGGAGGCUCGCGGCAUUAAAAUGCAGGAUGUUAGAGGGGAGCUGGUAGUCUGACUUCAACAUGAGAAUUUCCGGAGUCCCUCUUGAGACCAUGGGGCCGUUUGAAGUUCCACGUGUGGGAAGGGAGGACCCAUCAGAGAGACUGCUUUACCUAUCAGG